CCAGGCCCCUGUUGUCCUAAAACAUCAAUUUGACCAGUUAAAGCUUAGCCUAAGUUCAUGUGCCAUAUAUCACACUGACAAAAUGAGGAACCUUGGGGUAAUUUUUGAUCCUACGUUGUCCUUUGACCUCCACAUUAGAAAUAUUACAAGGACUGCUUUCUUCCACCUGCGAAAUAUAGCGAAGAUUUGUCCCAUCCUGCUUAUGGGUGAUGCUGAGACCCUGAUUCAUCCCUAAGUCUCUUAUAGAUUGGACUACUGGAAUGUUCUAUAUUCUGGUUUACCACAGUCCAGCAUUAGAGCUCUCCACUUAGUUCAAAAUGUGGCUGCCAGACCUUUGACACAAAGCAGAAAGUUUUACCACAUUACACCCAUUUUUGCAUCUCUUCACUAGCUUCCUGUGCCUGUGAGAUCAGCUUUUAAGGUUCUGCUAUUAGCCUAUAAAAUCGUUCACAGACUGGCACCUCCCUACUUCGCUGACCUAAUUAAACCCAAUGUUCUGGCCCAGUCUUUGCGUUCUCAAGGUGCAGGACU